rnacentral:piRNA from 1 species
UGAACAUUUGAUAUGGGAAAGUUCUUACUC